AGAUUGAAAUUCAAGAUGUUUUCCAAAGUGUUUGUAAAUAUAACUUUGAUAGUUUUGAUUUUCGCAAUUUGCGACGUCAUGGUGUCAGCUUUAUUUACGUGUGGUGACAACUGUUGGCACAAUGAUUGGCGAACGCGUGACUCGGAAGCAAGAAAACAUGGCUUUGAAAAUAAGAGAUGUUCUCGCUCGUACUCUUGGAGUGGUAGCUGUUUUUGUUAUGGUCCACCAUAUUGUGUAGGCGUGCCACUAGAAACAUGCGGUCACAACUGCUGGCACAAUGAUUGGUCAAAGCGAGAUCGAAGAGCACGAGCAGCCGGGCAGUACGGGAGCAGAUGUUCGUAUGGAUAUAGCUUUGGAGCAGCUAUUGGAGGACGAUGUUAUUGUUAUGGUUCACCAGUCUGUACUUAAUCUCAGACUGACCAGCACUUAGAAUUUUAUUAAUCUGAGAACUGGAAAUUAGAACUUGAUUAAUUUGGGAAUGCGUAAUAUAGAGUUUGAUCAAUUUGGAAACUAGAAAUCAUUGCAAUUUGAAAUAUGACCAGUUCAUGUCGAAAUAUGACCAGUUCAUUUGUAGUCCUUUCUUCUAUUAUUAUCAUUAUUUACUUUAAAUGACAAUCACGGUGCAAUAGAGAUUUAGUUUUCUAUUUUAAUUUUGUGCGGUGUGUAUUUAAGUAUUGUUAAAACUUAUUUAAUUGUGAUGAAUGAUAUAAGUAGAACGGUUGAGAC